GGCGCAUUGGUCAAGAGGUCAAGACGUCGCCCUCUCACGGCGGAAUCCAGGGUUCGAUUCCCUGAUGCGCUACCA
rnacentral:tRNA from 2 species